GCCAGGCAUAGUGGUGCACUCCUGUAAUCCCAGCUACUCUGGAGGCUGAGGCAGGAGGAUGGCAAGAUCUAGACCAACCUGGGCAACUUAGUCAGACCUUGUCUCAA
rnacentral:sRNA from 1 species